GGCUGUCAGGUGCGGUGGCUAAGCCUGGGGACAUAUGAAGCCGGUGCCGAACAUCAGGGACGUGUUGCGACGAGAGAGUGUGUCGAUGAUAAGAUAUUAAGCCGAGUUGGCCAGGUCCCUAAGUCUUGGAUGGCGAGCUGUAGAUAGGCCUCGAGCCUGAGCCCAAGGAUCUCCACCUGUUCUGGUCGGGCCGGUAGGCGGCUUAUAGCCGAACCCCUUGCCUCGCACCUCAUUGCUCUGCGGCCCUUUGCACUACCUCAUACACACCCUGCCCAUAAACUGAACUCUCACUACAAACUACCAUAUCCACAACCCCAAACCGUGUGGCUGUAUGAACUCUGAAUGCGCAUAUGGACUGCGAUCAGUCUCAUAUGACCUUUUUAAGAACUUUUGAUACUACCUGUUAUGAAUUACCUGAACCCUUGCUGUUUUUUUCUUUUGUUUUGAAUGGCCAUUCCUAUCAAUGUAUGUCCACUAUUUGUUGCACUGUACACAUUUAAAUAACACCAGUAUAAUUUAAAGCAUUUAAUUGUGUCUGUCCUACUCUCUCCGAGUCGUAAUCUAGACUUCUGAUUAGCCCAAAUAUUGAGAACGUCUACUAUAAUAGCUAACGUACCUGUUACACAUGCGCGAGGCUAUUUAUAGCACCGCUGCCAAGCACGAGGGACCAGUUGCCAUUGUUUCCAAACGAGCGAACGAUCAUGGAAUCAGCCGGAGAAAAAUCGCAUACGAGUCUUAAACCGAAAAGAAAACUGCAGUCAUUCCGUGAAGAAUAUU